GUGAAUCAUCGAAUUUUUGAACGCAAAUUGCACUUUCUGGUAUUCCGGAAAGUAUGCCUGUUUGAGGGUCAGUUAAAUUAAAAUCGGGUUUGUUUCUAGCCGUAGGUGUGUGCGAUGCAUCUGAAUUUCGUCAUUCUUUACCUUUGGUUUAAGUUACUUAAAAUUAUUUUCGAUUUUUGAACGUAUUUGAAUUAUUAUUUACUUUCGUUAUAUCAUAUAUUAUGUGCUGUCAGUCACAUUAUUUCGCGUCUAUAAUUCUUCAUUAUUACACCUCAAAUCAUGUGA
rnacentral:misc_RNA from 1 species